rnacentral:rRNA from 1 species
UGCUUACACAUGCAAGUUGAACGAAGGUCCGAGGCUUGCUUCGGGUACCUUAGUAGCGAACGGGUGAGUAACGCGUGGGAAUCUACCUAGAAAUGGGGAAUAACUACUGGAAACGGUAGCUAAUACCGCAUAAUCCCUUCGGGGCAAAGGCUUCGGCCGUUUUUAGAUGAGCCCGCGUUAGAUUAGAUUGUUGGUGGGGUAAUGGCCUACCAAAUCUUCUAUCUAUAGCUGGUCUGAGAGGAUGAUCAGCCACACUGGGACUGAGACACGGCCCAGACUCCUACGGGAGGCAGCAGUGGGGAAUAUUGGACAAUGGGGGAAACCCUGAUCCAGCAAUGCCGCGUGAGUGAAGAAGGCCUUAGGGUUGUAAAACUCUUUCAGAAGUGAAGAUGAUGACUGUAACUUCAGAAGAAGCUCCGGCUAACUCCGUGCCAGCAGCCGCGGUAAUACGGAGGGAGCUAGCGUUGUUCGGAAUUACUGGGCGUAAAGGGCGUGUAGGCUGUAUGGUAAGUCAGAGGUGAAAUCCCUAAGCUUAACUUAGGAACUGCCUUUGAUACUAUUAUGCUAGAGAUCGAGAGAGGUUAGUGGAAUUCCAAGUGUAGAGGUGAAAUUCGUAGAUAUUUGGAAGAACACCAGUGGCGAAAGCGACUAACUGGCUCGUUUCUGACGCUGAGACGCGAAAGCGUGGGUAGCAAACAGGAUUAGAUACCCUGGUAGUCCACGCCGUAAACGAUGAGUGCUGGCCGUUUGAAGGUUACCUUCAAGUGGUGCAGUUAACGCGUUAAGCACUCCGCCUGGGGAGUACGAUCGCAAGAUUAAAACUCAAAGGAAUUGACGGGGGCUCGCACAAGCGGUGGAGCAUGUGGUUUAAUUCGACGCAACGCGAGAACCUUACCAGGUCUUGACAUCCUGACUAUAGUUAUUAGAAAUAAUUUCUUUCAGUUCGGCUGAUCAGUGACAGGUGCUGCAUGACUGUCGUCAGCUCGUGUCGUGAGAUGUGGGUAGUCCCGCACGAGCGCACCCUUGUCUCAGUUGCUAUCAGUUAUGCUGAGCACUCUGA